UUCUCGUAUAAAAGUGUGUAGCACUUCGCUUUCUCUCUCCUGCUCCUUCUGCCAUGAUUGUAACUUUUCUGAAGCCUCCCCAGUCAUGCUUCUUGUACAGUCUGCAGAACGGUCUUGCAACUUGGCUUCAAUCUGCACAGAAGAAUCAGUUUUAAAAGGUCCUUCCUCACCUACAAAAAGAAGUAUUUCUUCUUCAUACAUUGAGCACCACAUCAACAGGGUCUCACUCCAUUGCCUACACUGGAGUGCAGUGGCACGAUCUUGGGUUACUGCACCCUCUGCCUCCUGGGCUCAAGUGAUCCUCCCACUUCAGCCUCCUGAGUAGUUGGAACUACAGGUGAGUAACACCAUGUUUGUCUAAUCUUUGUAGUGUUUGGGGAGACAGGGUCUCCCUAUGCUGUUCGGGCUGGUCUCAAACUCCUGGACUCAAGCUAUCCCUCCCGCCUUGACCUCCCAAAGUGCUGGAAUUAUGGGCAUGAGCCACUGCACCCAGUCCUAUUCUAUAUUUGUUAAUUAAAUACGUUCUUGAGUAUCUUUUAAUUAUAAUUGAAAUUUGUUUUAAAAGUACAAUUAAAAUUAUUUUUGUUUGCUGAGUAAUUUAAAUUUUUUUUAUUCCUUGUUCUCUGAUAUAUGACAAUUGUUCUCAAUUGUCUGAUAAUUCUUGGCUGUUAUUAAGUUACUCACUAAUUUUUUCCUCUAUUCAGGAUCUCUAUUGAGCUGGGUAGAACUUCCUUCCUUGGGAUGGCAGUAAGAACCAAAGCAAGAAAUGAAAGCAACGUGUUUCCACACAUCUAAGAACUCAAAACAUUUCCAAAAGCCACCAUAAUUGGUUUGACCUUAUCCUUGUCCUGGAAUUUUCAGUGAUGUCUUUCUUGUAGAACAGAUUAAGCAGCAUAGCUUCAUUUAAUGUAUUUAUGAUGAUUUCUGACCAUAUUACCAAAAGGCGUAACAGUGGUACCAAGGGAGUUAACAAUUGCAAAGGUGCAUUAUUGUUCUCUUAUUACUUGGUUGGGCUACUAAUUUUUUUUUUUUUUUUUUUUUUUGAGAUGGAGUCUCACUCUGUCACCCAGGCUGGAGUGCAGUGGUGCAAUCUCGGCUCACUGCAAGCUCAGCCUCCAGGGUUCAUGCCAUUCUCCUGCCUCAGCCUCCCAAGUAGCUGGGGCUACAGGCACCCGCCACCACGCCCGGCUAAUUGUUUGUAUUUUUAGUAGAGACGGGGUUUCACCGUGUUAGCCAGGAUGGUCUCAAUCUCCUGACCUCGUGAUCUGCCCUCCUUGGCCUCCCAAAGUGCUGGGAUUACAGGCAUGAGCCACCACGCCUGGCCUGGGCUACUGAUUUUUAAAAAUUAGAAUGUAUUAAAGUAAACACACAAAAUGAAAUGUAGCCAUAUAAAAUAUAGACUUUAAGUUUUGACCAAUGUAUGCACCUUUCUAGUCAUCAACAUGAUCAAUGUUGUGUUUACUGUACAUUCAGUAAGAUAUUUCCAUCACAAUAAAAGUUUUUCUCAUAUCUAUUUGCCAUCAGUUCCCCAACCUCUUGCCUCAGGAAACCAGCAGUCUGCUUUUUGUCACCAUUGAUUCGUUUAUCUUGUACUAGAAAUCAAUGUAGAUGAAAUCAUACAGUAUGUAUUCUCUUUCAUCUGCCUUCUUUUCCUCACAACAUUUUUUAGAUUGAUCCAGGCCAUUGUGGGUAUCAGUAGCUCAUUACUCUUUAUUGCUCAGUAAUAUUUUGUCCUAGGGUUAUACCAAAAUGUGUUUAUCCAUUCACUUAACAAUGGACAUUUAACAUGUUUCCAGUUAAAGGUUAUUAUGAAUAAAGCUGUUAUAAACAUUUGUGGAAAAAUUUUUGUGCCAAGUUAUGUCUUUAUUUUUAGGGUAUAAAUACCUAAAAGGGGAAUUGUUGAAUUGUGUGGUAACUAUAUUUUUAAUUUUGAAAAAAUUUUCCAAACUGUUUUCAGAGGGAAUUAUGUCAUUUUAUAUUAGUAUGACAGUUUCCAUUGCCCCGUGUCUUUACAAACACUUGAUUUUGUCUAUCUCUCUAUUUUUAACCAUCCUGAAUGUUGUGUAAUAGUAUCUUAUUUUGGUUUUCAUUUGUUUAUGCCUGAUUACUAGUGAUGUUGAGCACAGUUUCAUGUUGUCUUUUCAUGUUGCCAUUUCUAUGUACUUUUGUGAAAUAUCUAUUCAAAUAUUGAUUUUUUUUAAAAAAAAUGGGUUAUUUGUCUUUAUAUUAUAGAAUUGUAGAAAUUUUCUAUAUAAUUUGAAAAUCAGUGCUUUGGCUGAUAUACAUAUUGACAAUAUUUUUCCUAGUCUGCAGUUUGACUUCUCAUUUUCUGAAUGAUGUCUUUUGGAGGGAAGAAGUUCUUAGUUUUGAUGAAGUACAUUAUAUUAUUAUUUACAUUAUAGUUUGUGUAUUUUAUUUCCUAUGUAAGAUAUCCUUACCUACCUAAUUUUAUUAAUACUUUCCCUUAUAUUUUCUUCUAGAAGAUGUAUACUUUUAGUUUGUGACUGCAGGUGUAGAAUUUAUUUUGAGUUAUUUCUGUAUGAUGCAAAGUGAAGGUCAAAAUUUAUUUACUUAUUUUCCAAAAAAGAUUAUCCUGCUUUUCUAGCCCCAUUAUUUUAAAAGAUUAUCUUUCUCCUCAAUAAUACAUUGGCUUACUUAUUGAAACAAACUGACCUUACACGUGUAGGUUUAUUUCUGGACACUACUGUCUGUUCUGUUCUACUGAGGUAUAUACCUAUCAUGAUGCAAAUUUCAUGCUUAUACUAAGACUGAAAUGGGGUAGUGAGAAUUCUUCAAUUUUGUUCUUCUUUUUCACAAUGGUUUUGGUCAUUGUCGGUUCUUUGUAUUUUCUAAAUUAUUUUAGAAUCUUCUUGACAAUUUCUGUAAAAAUUAUGUGCUUUGAUUUUGAUCAGCCUUGUAUUGAAACCAUAGAUCAAUUUUGAAGAAUUGCCACCUUAUUGAGGUUUCUAAUCCAUGAGUAUGUCAUAUUUUUCUACACAAUUAGAUAUUGUAUAAUUUGUCCCAGCAGUUUUCUGGGAUAAACAUUUAUGUACAAAUCUUCAUGCCAAGUUAUGUCUUUAUUUCUUUGGGGUAAAUACUUAAGAGUGGAAUAGUUGGAUUGUGUGGUGUGUAUAUGUUUAAUUUUGUAAGACAUUUCCAAAGUGUUUUCAGAGGGAAUUGUGCCAUUUUAUAUUAAUAUGAAAGUUUAUAUUGCUCCAUGUCUUUACAAACACUUGAUUUUGCCCAUCUCUUUAGGGGGAUUACACAUCUUUUUUGAUACAUUUUUAAUAAAUAUAUUAAGCUUUUUGGCACUGCUAGAAAUAUUUUUUAUUUCAUUUUAUUAUUGUGUAUUUCUUGUAUUAGAUAUAAAAUUGAUAUUUAUAUGUUGACCUUGUAUCCUGUGCCCAUUGCUAAAUUCACUUAUUCCAUCUAAUAGAUUUUUGAGAGUCCUUGGAUUUUUAUGCGUAUGUGAUCUCAUAUACGACCACAAAAUAUCUUGACAUUUUAAUCUCUUCCUUUCCAAUAUGUGAAUUUCUUACUUAUUUUAAUCUUUGUCACACUGUUCAGGAGCUCCAGUGGAAUAUUUAAUAUAACUGAUAACAAGGAGUAUCUAUGCUUUCGUUUCUAAUCUUGAGUUGUAGAAGGUCACACUGACUUAACAGCAUUUCAUAACAGUGCAGGUCUUUUGUAAGCACUGUUUUAACAGAUUCAGUAAGUGUUCUUUUUUUUUUUUUCUCUUUUUAAAAUUUUCUGUUUUAUUAAAAACAAUAUAUUUUCAUUAUAUAACUUUAGAAAAUGCAGAAAACUGUGGGUAAGAAUUAAACGUGUGUGUGUAUACUUUUUUAAAAAGUUGGUCGUAAUGUAUAUAUUGUUUUCUUUGAUUUUGUUUAAUGUAUAACCGUUUCCC
rnacentral:lncRNA from 1 species